rnacentral:misc_RNA from 1 species
AACUUAACUAGACAAAUGAUUUGGUGACUUAUUCCUGCCUGCCAAAUAGCCUUUGAAUUGCAUCUUCAGCUAACUCCUUUAAGUGCUGCAAAUCUUUGCCUACUAUUAGAUAUAAGUUUUGAUAUGGGUGGCGUCCUACUUGUGUAAGCAAGUAGACCCACAAACUCAUAAGUAACACACCAUAGAGGAGAACAUGAACCAAGGCAAGUAGCACAAUUGCCAUAUAAUUCAAUAGUUGACGAAUAUUUCUAGAACAUGUUUUGUAAUUUGAGUUGGUGUGGGUUUUGAGUUCAUGUUCAAU